CGGAUUCAACGGCCGAGCCGCGCGCCCGAUGCGCGUGGGCGGGGGAACCACCGCGGUCGUCGAGACCGCCGGGGCGAAUCGCCGCAAGGCGUAGCGCAGCUCCUGGAGCGCGAGCCCGUCAGCUCACCCCGCAGGCCACCGACAGGAGGAAUG
rnacentral:sRNA from 1 species